rnacentral:rRNA from 1 species
GACGAACGCUGGCGGGGGGCGGAACACAUGCAAGUCGAACGGAAAGGCCCUGCUUUUGUGGGGUGAUCGAGUGGCGAACGGGUGAGUAACACGUGAGUAACCUGAUCUUGAUUUUGGGAUAACUUCAGGAAACUGGGGCUAAUAUCGGAUAGGAGCCCCUGCUGCAUGGUGGGGGUUGGAAAGUUUCGGCGGUUGGGGAUGGACUCGCGGCUGAUCAGCUUGUUGGUGGGGUAGUGGCUUACCAAGGCUUUGACGGGUAGCCGGCCGGAGAGGGUGACCGGCCACAUUGGGACUGAGAUACGGCCCAGACUCCUACGGUAGGCAGCAGUGGGGAAUAUUGCACAAUGGGCGCAAGCCUGAUGCAGCAACGCCGCGUGCGGGAUGACGGCCUUCGGGGUGUAAACCGCUUUCGCCUGUGACGAAGCGUGAGUGACGGUAAUCGAUAAAUAAGCACCGGCUAACUACGUG